GACGAACGCUGGCGGCGUGCCUAAUACAUGCAAGUAGAACGCACAGUUUAUACCGUAGCUUGCUACACCAUAAACUGUGAGUUGCGAACGGGUGAGUAACGCGUAGGUAACCUGCCUGGUAGCGGGGGAUAACUAUUGGAAACGAUAGCUAAUACCGCAUAAUAUUGAUUAUUGCAUGAUAAUUGAUUGAAAGAUGCUAUUGCAUCACUACCAGAUGGACCUGCGUUGUAUUAGCUAGUAGGUGAGGUAACGGCUCACCUAGGCGACGAUACAUAGCCGAGCUGAGAGGGUGAUCGGCCACACUGGGACUGAGACACGGCCCAGACUCCUACGGGAGGCAGCAGUAGGGAAUCUUCGGCAAUGGACGAAAGUCUGACCGAGCAACGCCGCGUGAGUGAAGAAGGUUUUCGGAUCGUAAAGCUCUGUUGUAAGAGAAGAACGGGUGUGAGAGUGGAAAGUUCACACUGUGACGGUAUCUUACCAGAAAGGGACGGCUAACUACGUGC
rnacentral:rRNA from 1 species